CCAACGGCCCUCUUUAGGGCCACAAAUUCUGAGAAUCCUAAAAUU
rnacentral:ncRNA from 16 species